rnacentral:rRNA from 1 species
AUUGAACGCUGGCGGCAGGCCUAACACAUGCAAGUCGAGCGGCUGAAGGGAGCUUGCUGCUGGAUUCAGCGGCGGACGGGUGAGUAAUGACUAGGAAUCUGCCUGGUAGUGGGGGAUAACGUCCGGAAACGGGCGCUAAUACCGCAUACGUCCUGAGGGCGAAAGUGGGGGAUAUUCGGCCCUCACGCUAUCAGAUGAGCCUAGGUCGGAUUAGCUAGUUGGUGGGGUAAAGGCCUACCAAGGCGACGAUCCGUAACUGGUCUGAGAGGAUGAUCCGUCACACUGCAACUGAGACUCGGUCCCGACUCCUACGGGAGGCAGCAGUGGGGAAUAUUGGACAAUGCGCGAAAGCCUGAUCCAGCCAUGCCGCGUGUGUGAAGAAGGUCUUCGGAUUGUAAAGCACUUUAAGUUGGGAGGAAGGGCAGUAAGUUAAUACCUUGCUGUUUUGACGUUACCAACAGAAUAAGCACCGGCUAACUUCUUG